rnacentral:tRNA from 1 species
GCGGAGGUGGCAGAUCAAUGCGUCAGUCUUAAGAUCUGAGGAUGAGAGGCUUCUCUCUCUCUUCGCU